rnacentral:rRNA from 1 species
CUGGAGGUAUCAGAAGUGCGAAUGCUGACAUAAGUAACGAUAAAGCGGGUGAAAAGCCCGCUCGCCGGAAGACCAAGGGUUCCUGUCCAACGUUAAUCGGGGCAGGGUGAGUCGACCCCUAAGGCGAGGCCGAAAGGCGUAGUCGAUGGGAAACAGGUUAAUAUUCCUGUACUUGGUGUUACUGCGAAGGGGGGACGGAGAAGGCU